AUUCUACUCCCUCCGUUGCACAAUACAUGCCUUCUCUUUGUCAAAAUAUAUAUGUAUCUAGACAUGUUUUAGUAUAUAGGUACAUCCAUUUUUGGACAAAUGGAAGUCAAGUAUUUUGGAACGGAGGGAGUACAUA
rnacentral:pre_miRNA from 1 species